rnacentral:rRNA from 1 species
GAUGAACGCUGGCGGCGUGCCUAAUACAUGCAAGUCGAGCGAACGGACGAGAAGCUUGCUUCUCUGAUGUUAGCGGCGGACGGGUGAGUAACACGUGGAUAACCUACCUAUAAGACUGGGAUAACUUCGGGAAACCGGAGCUAAUACCGGAUAAUAUUUUGAACCGCAUGGUUCAAAAGUGAAAGACGGUCUUGCUGUCACUUAUAGAUGGAUCCGCGCUGCAUUAGCUAGUUGGUAAGGUAACGGCUUACCAAGGCAACGAUGCAUAGCCGACCUGAGAGGGUGAUCGGCCACACUGGAACUGAGACACGGUCCAGACUCCUACGGGAGGCAGCAGUAGGGAAUCUUCCGCAAUGGGCGAAAGCCUGACGGAGCAACGCCGCGUGAGUGAUGAAGGUCUUUGGAUCGUAAAACUCUGUUAUUAGGGAAGAACAUAUGUGUAAGUAACUGUGCACAUCUUGACGGUACCUAAUCAGAAAGCCACGGCUAACUACGUGCCAGCAGCCGCGGUAAUACGUAGGUGGCAAGCGUUAUCCGGAAUUAUUGGGCGUAAAGCGCGCGUAGGCGGUUUUUUAAGUCUGAUGUGAAAGCCCACGGCUCAACCGUGGAGGGUCAUUGGAAACUGGAAAACUUGAGUGCAGAAGAGGAAAGUGGAAUUCCAUGUGUAGCGGUGAAAUGCGCAGAGAUAUGGAGGAACACCAGUGGCGAAGGCGACUUUCUGGUCUGUAACUGACGCUGAUGUGCGAAAGCGUGGGGAUCAAACGGGAUUAGGUACCCUGGUAGUCCACGCCGUAAACGAUGAGUGCUAAGUGUUAGGGGGUUUCCGCCCCUUAGUGCUGUAGCUAACGCAUUAAGCACUCCGCCUGGGGAGUACGACCGCAAGGUUGAAACUCAAAGGAAUUGACGGGGACCCGCACAAGCGGUGGAGCAUGUGGUUUAAUUCGAAGCAACGCGAAGAACCUUACCAAAUCUUGACAUCCUUUGACAACUCUAGAGAUAGAGCUUUCCCCUUCGGGGGACAAAGUGACAGGUGGUGCAUGGUUGUCGUCAGCUCGUGUCGUGAGAUGUUGGGUUAAGUCCCGCAACGAGCGCAACCCUUAAGCUUAGUUGCCAUCAUUAAGUUGGGCACUCUAAGUUGACUGCCGGUGACAAACCGGAGGAAGGUGGGGAUGACGUCAAAUCAUCAUGCCCCUUAUGAUUUGGGCUACACACGUGCUACAAUGGACAAUACAAAGGGCAGCGAAACCGUGAGGUCAAGCAAAUCCCAUAAAGUUGUUCUCAGUUCGGAUUGUAGUCUGCAGCUCGACUACAUGAAGCUGGAAUCGCUAGUAAUCGUAGAUCAGCAUGCUACGGUGAAUACGUUCCCGGGUCU